UGGGCCCGACGUCGCAUGCUCCCGGCCGCCAUGGCGGCCGCGGGAAUUCGAUUAGAGUUUGAUCAUGGCUCAGAGCGAACGCUGGCGGCAGGCUUAACACAUGCAAGUCGAACGGUCCUUCGGGAUAGUGGCGGACGGGUGAGUAACACGUGGGAACGUACCCUUAGGUUCGGAACAACACAGGGAAGCUUGUGCUAAUACCGGAUGAGCCCUUCGGGGGAAAGAUUUAUCGCCUUUGGAGCGGCCCGCGUCUGAUUAGCUAGUUGGUGAGGUAAUGGCUCACCAAGGCGACGAUCAGUAGCUGGUCUGAGAGGAUGGCCAGCCACACUGGGACUGAGACACGGCCCAGACUCCUACGGGAGGCAGCAGUGGGGAAUCUUGCGCAAUGGGCGAAAGCCUGACGCAGCCAUGCCGCGUGGAUGAUGAAGGUCUUAGGAUUGUAAAAUCCUUUCACCGGGGACGAUAAUGACGGUACCCGGAGAAGAAGCCCCGGCUAACUUCGUGCCAGCAGCCGCGGUAAUACGAAUCACUAGUGAAUUCGCGGCCGCCUGCAGGUCGACCAUAUGGGAGAGCUCCCAACGC
rnacentral:rRNA from 1 species